GAUGAACGCUGGCGGCGUGCCUAAUACAUGCCAGUCGAGCGAACAGACGAGGAGCUUGCUCCUCUGACGUUAGCGGCGGACGGGUGAGUAACACGUGGAUAACCUACCUAUAAGACUGGGAUAACUUCGGGAAACCGGAGCUAAUACCGGAUAAUAUAUUGAACCGCAUGGUUCAAUAGUGAAAGACGGUUUUGCUGUCACUUAUAGAUGGAUCCGCGCCGCAUUAGCUAGUUGGUAAGGUAACGGCUUACCAAGGCGACGAUGCGUAGCCGACCUGAGAGGGUGAUCGGCCACACUGGAACUGAGACACGGUCCAGACUCCUACGGGAGGCAGCAGUAGGGAAUAUUCGGCAAUGGGCGAAAGCUUGACGGAGCCACGCCGCGUGAGUGAUGAAGGUCUUCGGAUCGUAAAACUCUGUUAUUAGGGAAGAACAAAUGUGUAAGUAACUAUGCACGUCUUGACGGUACCUACUCAGAAAGCCACGGCUAACUACGUG
rnacentral:rRNA from 1 species